rnacentral:rRNA from 1 species
GGAAAAGAAACUAACAAGGAUUCCCCUAGUAACGGCGAGUGAAGCGGGAAGAGCUCAAAUUUGAAAUCUUAAAGGGUUUCCCUUUACGAAUUGUAGUUUAAAGAAGUGUUUUCUGUUGAGGUUUUGGUAAAAGUUCUUUGGAAUAGGACAUCAUAGAGGGUGAGAAUCCCGUAUUUGACCUUUACUUUCAACUUUGUGAUACACUUUCAAAGAGUCGGAUUGUUUGGGAAUGCAGUCCAAAAUGGGUGGUAAAUUUCAUCUAAAGCUAAAUAUUGGCGAGAGACCGAUAGCGAACAAGUACCGUGAGGGAAAGAUGAAAAGAACUUUGAAAAGAGAGUUAAACAGUACGUGAAAUUGUCAAAAGGGAAGCGUUUGACACCAGUGUUGUUUUUCUGAAAAUCAAUUAAAGAACUGUUUAUGCUAAGUUGUUUAGACUUUAUCAGCUAWCUGUUUAGUUUUGAGCUUUUCUUUAAUGCACUUUUCAGUUAACAAGUCAACAUCAAUUUCUUUUGCUGUAAAAAAGCUUGAGGAAGGUGGCUUGAGAUUCGUCUUAAGUGUUUAUAGCCUCUUGCCUAUGCAGUCGGAGAGAUUGAGGUCUGCAGCGUAGAUCCUUCGGGGCUAAAUGCAUUUGUGCUAAGUUAUAGCAUUUUAUAGACAACUUGUUGACUAUGAUUUGUCUUGUAGCUU